rnacentral:rRNA from 1 species
UACGGAGGUUGCGAGCGUUGUUCGGAAUUACUGGGCGUAAAGGGAGCGCAGGCGGUUAGGUAAGUCUGGAGUGAAAGCCCGGGGCUCAACCCCGGAGGGUCUUUGGAUACUGCCCGACUUGAGUACGUGAGAGGAGAGCGGAAUUCCAGGUGUAGCGGUGAAAUGCGUAGAUAUCUGGAGGAACACCGGUGGCGAAGGCGGCUCUCUGGCACGACACUGACGCUGAGGCUCGAAAGCAUGGGGAGCGAACGGG